GUGAGGAAUUUUCCGCAAUGGGCGAAAGCCUGACGGAGCAAUGCCGCGUGAAGGAUGAAGGCCUAUGGGUUGUAAACUUCUUUUCUCAGAAAAGAAUUAUGACGGUAUCUGAGGAAUAAGCAUCGGCUAACUCUGUGCCAGCAGCCGCGGUAAGACAGAGGAUGCAAGCGUUAUCCGGAAUGAUUGGGCGUAAAGCGUCUGUAGGUUGUUUAAAAAGUAUUCUGUCAAAGAUUAGGGCUUAACCCUAGAUAGGCAGAAUAAACUUUUAAGCUAGAGUUUGGUAGGGGCAGAGGGAAUUCCCGGUGGAGCGGUGAAAUGCGUAGAUAUCGGGAGGAACACCAAAGGCGAAGGCACUCUGCUGGGCCAAUACUAACACUGAGAGACGAAAGCGAGGGGAGCAAAUGGGAUUAGAAACCCCAGUAGUCC
rnacentral:rRNA from 1 species